GGUCAUUCAUUCCCACACCACCGUAAAGCUCCCUGUUCUCUCCCAUUCUUAAAUUUCAUGCCUCAGAGUCUCCAGAACGGUAUUCGUCAGGGCAUUACUCAUGCUCUGAACUCUGGCACCCUUGGUUCAUUACUCAUUAAUAUAUUCUAGAUGCUGUGGGAAAUCAAAGAUGCUUCGUGUGACGUGUAUAAAUCCUGCCUUGUGGGUCAGAGUCCAGCUGGGAGACGACCAGAUGCCUCUGCUGUGAGGUCGGAUGCGCUACGUGCUUUAAGACAAGAAUGGAUAAGCUGCUAAAGUCACAUGCUUUCUAAUUUUUUUUUUCCUGUGAAAAGUACCAGGCAAAUGUGUUACCUGAAAGCUCCCGCCACUUCCUCGGGUGUUACCUCCAAGUCUUCUGUUUGACUCUCCCCUGAGGCGAACUGACAUCACUCCUGUCUUUGGGGAAUGAAUCUCCGUGGUGCUCAGUUGACUUCCCAGAAACUAGUGGAGAGAAAGAAGAAAUAAACAAAAUUUCAAAGC